rnacentral:tmRNA from 1 species
GGGGGCGUUUGGUUUCGACGGGGGUAGUAUGGGCGAGAGUAGCGAGUCGAGUUUCCACUCGUUAACUGGAAAACCUAAGUUAAACGCAGAUAAUAAUUACGCAUUCGCUGCUUAAUUAAAAGUAGCGCACUUUACCGGACUUUCGCCUGUGAAGACCGGAUAAAGUGUCAUAUGAAGCAGGCUAUAUCCCUUUAAAGCCUUGAUAAAGGGAAAGAAAAUAAGAGGCUAGUAUUGAGAAAAUCCCGCCCUUUGGAGUUUCACAAUGCGAAAUCAAAAUAAAGGGCUAUACUCGUAGAAACUUUCGUUGGUAUACCUUCGGACAGGGGUUCGAUUCCCCUCGCCUCCACCA